rnacentral:lncRNA from 1 species
GUUGUCUUCCCACCUCAGACUCCCAAGUAGCUGGGACCACAGGAGGAAAUCUCUUCACUGCUGGCACUGACAAUGGAAGACUGAGGGUGCCCGGGAUCCUUCACCCCCACAUCCAGUGAGUCCACGGAACCCAGGGUAACUGGGAUGGUAUCUGAUGAUAGCAAAUUGGAGUCAGUGUUAGCAAGACUCUCCCACUUGGAAAGACAAAAUAGUGUAUAGUCAUUCACACUGUGAACUCUAUUUCCAAGAAGAAAUGCAGAAACUUAACAGGAAAACGGAAAUCCACCAAUUCUCUGAAAGAAGCUGCAUGCUGCAGCCUACAUUGUAAGAUUGCUGUUGAAUAUCUUUAAUAUAUCAAAACCUGCAAGGUGCUAGACAUACAAGGUAAAUACAAAGUCUCUAUCAAAGAAUUUAAUAAGAGAUUGGAGAAACAGACACUUAGAAACAUUUACAAAUCACCAUGAAUGGAACAAUGUACGCUAGUGUUGUGGGAGAGGAAGUUUUGAAAUACUUCCACAGAGAGGAUGAUACUCAAAGUGGGUAUUGAAGAAUGCGAAGAGUUUCUGGGGAUAAAUGAGAACAUAAUAAGUAGAAGGAAGAACAUAAGAAGCAUGGCAUUGCAAUGGUGACUGACUUAGGGCUAUACUGUCUUAGACUUGGAAGUGUAGCUAGGGAAGUAGGAUUAUUGUUGUGAAUAUGCAUCCUUAUAUGGCAUAUUUUCCUUAUAUUUGAGAAUUAAAAUUGUUUCUUUGAAUUUCAAUAACAGCCUAUUCUUACAAACAUGUUUUGUUUUUCUAUCAUUGAUUAGAGUCAUUAAUAAAAUUGCCUACAGCUUUAAAAUAAUUGUCUAUUUAUUUUAGCUCAACAGCUUCGUAUAAAAUGGUAAAGACUAAGGUAGCAUCAAGUAUGGAUACUUACCAAGAUAUUGUUUUAUAUGGGGAAAAUGUAACAUAACCCAA